UACUUUAAAAAUUAUAACUCUUAAAAUCACGAAAAAUCACGAAGGCAUGGGCCUUUUUCAAAUCAACGCCAGUGAAAAAAAAUUAAUUAACGGAAAUAAGAAAAGUCCUC
rnacentral:rRNA from 14 species